rnacentral:rRNA from 1 species
UACGUAGGGACCAAGCGUUGUCCGGAAUCAUUGGGCGUAAAGAGCGUGUAGGCGGCUUGUUAAGUCUUGCGUGAAAUCUCGGGGCUCAACCCCGAGCGGUCGUGAGAAACUGGCAGGCUAGAGUGCGGGAGAGGAGAGUGGAAUUCCUGGUGUAGCGGUGAAAUGCGCAGAUAUCAGGAAGAACACCCGUGGCGAAGGCGGCUCUCUGGAACGCAACUGACGCUGAGACGCGAAAGCGUGGGGGAGCAAACAGG